rnacentral:lncRNA from 1 species
CCACCGUUUCACCACGCCUCCUCAGCGGUUCCACCGUGAACAGUGGUUGGAGGCGCGCCACGUUAGGCUUUUUAACCCCCUUUGAGCAGACCCGAAGGCGAAGGUAGGCCCCUUUUCCCUUUUCUCUUAUUUUCUGUAUUUAUUUUUAAAAAAAAUAAAUAAAUUGAAAGGAAGAAAAGAAAAGAAAAACAAAAAACGAAUCGAUUACUACCUUAAAUCCUAUUUCGUUUGUUUUUUUUCCUCUGAUUGUAGAUAUAGAAUGCUUCUUUUUGAUUGAUUUUUGUGAAUCCCUUUACAGAUUUGAAAUCGACUUUUUAUAGCCGAAACAAAAAAAGAAAAAUGUAAAAAAAAAGAAAUCUAUUCUGUUAUCCAGCUAUUUCAUUUGCUGGCAUAUUGUUGCUCUCUUUUGCUGUUAUUCGUUUCUGUUUCAGGUGUACGGAGUUGCGAUGAAGUGGAUGUGCAGCACGCGCGGAGGCCUGGUUCCCAGCUGCGGCGCGCUAACUAUUCCAGAGACCCUAGGGGUUUCUGGAGAUUUCAAAUUGGGCCACUUCAAAUCGGGCUAGGGUUUAAUUGGGUCUAGUAUUGUAUUGGGUCAUAUUUUGGGUUUGUAAUUUGGGCUGUUGGGUUAUUAUAUUUUUUUUGGUUUAAUUGGGCCCAAGUAUAUUGGGCUACUACAACUUGAAUGUAAAAUUAUUCAAAUUUUAAAUAAUUCAAAACUUCAAAAAUUGAUAUUGA